CGAAGGGUGCAAGCGUUACUCGGAAUUACUGGGCGUAAAGCGUGCGUAGGUGGUUUGUUAAGUCUGAUGUGAAAGCCCUGGGCUCAACCUGGGAAUUGCAUUGGAUACUGGCAGGCUAGAGUGCGGUAGAGGGUAGUGGAAUUCCCGGUGUAGCAGUGAAAUGCGUAGAUAUCGGGAGGAACACCAGUGGCGAAGGCGACUACCUGGACCAGCACUGACACUGAGGCACGAAAGCGUGGGGAGCAAACAGGAUUAGAUACCCUGGUAGUCCACGCCCUAAACGAUGCGAACUGGAUGUUGGGAGCAACUAGGCUCUCAGUAUCGAAGCUAACGCGUUAAGUUCGCCGCCUGGGGAGUACGGUCGCAAGACUG
rnacentral:rRNA from 1 species